rnacentral:misc_RNA from 1 species
UUGUAUAUAUAUCUCUUUUAUUACUAUACACGACACUUACUACUAUAAAUAUUACUGAAGAGAUAAACAUUUUGCGGCAUUUACCAGGAACGACAUAUACUUAGUCGUGAGUUUGAAACCGUUCAAAGCAUCGAUUAUGACUGCAUAAACUUGUAUAAAUCAAAUUAGAUUGAAUAAAAUAUAAAAUUGUGUAUUAAAAUAUAUUUUAAUUACGUAGGAAUAAAUUCUUACACGGAAAUCAAACAUAUUACGCGUCAAAUGUAUGAGUCACCUCUCCCCUCUCAAUCUGGUGGCCUAGUUAACCGAAUAAGUGGGGACGGAUCAGACUCAUUCACUACCCUGCACAAAGUGUAUACGCGGUGCGGCUAAAGAAAUUUUCACUUAAAAAAGCAAAAGACUACCACCCAUCAGGCUACUUGUAUUCUUAUUUAAUCUUUGGCUUAACAUUUGUAAAAUAGUAUUCAUUAUAUUGAUUGGUUGGUAUAACGUUGUCGAAAAUUGAACGUUGCGUAAGAAUUAGUAUAUCGUCAUAAUGCAGGAGAAAUGAAAUCUAACGGCAUCUGCUUAGAACUAAAUAGAAGAGCGGAAAUGGUUCUAUUGAGCGCUUAAAUCGUUCAUUCUACGUGUUGAUCGAUCCGAGCCGAACAGUUACUAGGCAAUCAACGAACGUCAUGUUAACAAGUGUUCAAUAGAGUGUAUAUAUUUUUCUUCUACGUUUGUGGUUUUCAAAUAAAUUGCAAAUAUGGUUUUUGAGUCGGUUAUAGCAGAGCUUUUAAAUAAAGUUUUAGGAGAGUAUAUACAAAAUUUGGAUUAUACGCAAUUAAAACUUAGUUUAUGGGGAGGUGAUGUAGUAUUGACAGAUUUAUUAAUAAAAGAAACAGCGUUAGAUGUACUGGAUUUACCUAUAAGAUUAGAAUAUGGACGAUUAGGUAAAUUAAUAUUAAAAAUUCCAUAUAAAGACAUAUGGAAUGCUCAAGUAGAUGCAAUAGUCGAGGAAUUAUUUAUACUUAUUGUACCUUCAAGCCAAGUUUCUUAUGAUUCUGAAAAAGAAACAAGACAACAAUUAGAGACCAAAAGAGCUGAGCUUGCAAGAAUAGAGAAAAACAAACAAUUGGCAGAAACUAAACCACAAGAAAAGCUAAAUGAUUCAAUGGUUGAAAAGUUAAUUGCUCGUAUGAUAAAAAAUAUACACAUUGAAAUAAAGCGAAUUCAUGUUCGUUAUGAAGAUCAUGUUACAUUUAAAGAUCAUCCAUUUUCGGUUGGAUUCACAUUAAAUACAUUUGUCAUAGAAAGUUGUACAGAUACUUGGAGUACAACUGGUAACAUGAAAGAUAUGUAUGCAAUUCCUCAAAUUUAUAAGUUGUGUACAUUAGAUGGCCUAGCUGUAUAUCUUAAUACUGGUGUUGAACAAUUUAGUAAAAAUUCACAAUCUAUGUAUUCCAAAUUAUUCUGUGAUGGUAUUGCAACGAUAGAUUAUACGCCUAUUGGUUAUUUAUAUUUAUUGGGUCCAAUAAAUGUAAAUGCAAAAUUAAAGCUUAAUCCAAAGCCUGAAACAGAUAGUAGUAAUUAUACCAUUCCAAAAAUAUGGCUCAAUUUGGAAAUGCUUAAAUUACGGAUAGCAUUGACAAAACAUCAAUACCAAACUUUAGUGCAAUUAGGAGAAGGUCUGGAUCAAGCUCAAAAAGCUGCUCCAUACAGAAGAUAUAGACCAAAUUUAACGUCAUAUAGAGGCCAUUACAAAGAAUGGUGGUUAUUUGCAUAUACUUGUAUAUUGGAAGAAACUGUAAGAAGAUAUCGUAGAAAUUGGGAUUGGAAUCAUAUGAAAACACAUAGAGAUAUGUGUCGCGAAUAUGCACAAGUAUAUCAAACUAAAUUAACAACUAAGAAAGUAACGCAAGAUAUAGAAGAACGUCUUAAGACUUAUGAGAAAAAGUUAGAUCUAUUCAAUUUAGUUAUUAUCAGACAACAAAUUGAAAUGGAAGUCGAAAGAUUAGCAGAGAAAGAAAAGAAUCUUAAAGCAAAAAGAGGAUGGUUUGGAUUUUUAUGGGGCUCUCCUCAAACAGAAGAAACUCAAGAGUUGAAUUCUGCUGCAGCUAUUAUGCGUAAAUUCGAGGAAGCCAUGACACCACAAGAGAAGGAAAAAUUGUAUCGUGCAAUUGAUUAUCAAGAGAACACUGCACCAGCUCAUUAUCCUGAAACAUAUGAAAUGAUUGAUACUAAUUUCUUCUUACACGGACUUCAAUUACUUCUUUUAGAUACAGAUAAAGAACAUCCAAGUAUCUUGGAUUUACAAUUAAAUAGUGUUCAGGCUGGUUUUAAGUCACGACCUUCUGCCAAUGCUAUUUCAAUAACGACAUCAAUAAGUGAUAUGAAACUUUUCGGAGUAAAACAAAAUGAUUAUAUUCCUUCGCUUUUUAAUUCUGAACAUGAAAGCGCGGAUAAUGUUUUAUUAUCUAUUGCUUACGAAAAAAAUCCUCUUGAUAAAUUAUGUGGAGAUCGUAUUAUUAUAAAGUCAAAGUCGGUUGAUAUUGUAUACGAUGCUCAAACAAUAAUAGAAUUAGUUAAAUUAUUUAAAGUUCCAAAUUCUUCAGCUUUAAAUCAAAUUCAAGCAGCUGCUGCAGAACAAUUAGAAGGCUUAAAAGAAAAGUCUGCCUUAGGUUUAGAGUAUGCUAUCGAAAAGCAUUCAAUAUUAGAUAUUCAGGUAGACAUGCAGGCAUCCCAAUUAAUUAUACCACUUGGUGGAUUAUACGAUAAUACCAAAUCAUUAUUUAUAAUAAAUUUAGGUAGUUUGAAGAUGCAUUCUCUUGAAAAGCCCAAAAGUGAUAAAUCCAAAGCAACUGUUAAACAGCUUGCUAGUAUGGGUAAAAGUGAAGAAGAUAUUUUGUUACACUUAAGGGAACAUAGUUAUGAUAAAUUUGCUCUGAAUAUAGUUAAUUUUCAGAUUCUUGUUUCAUUAGGAAAUGAAAAUUGGCGAGAAGCUUUAAUGAAAAACGGUUCAAUGACAUUACUGUGUCCAACUACAUUAGAAAUUCAAUUUCAUAAAUGUUUAAUAACAGAUGACCCUUUAUUACCCAAAAUGAGAUUAGUAGGACAAUUACCAUCUCUUGCUAUUAAUAUAACAGAUAUACGUUUGCUAGAAGCUCUCAGCAUUGUUCAAAGCAUUCCAUUCCCCGAGGAAGAAACUUCAGCACAACUUACAAAGUCAUCACUUAGCAAAUCCGUUUCCCAAUUGUCUUUAUUCAAGGAAUUGACUACAAUUUCUUCUCCCAACGGUAAAAAAAAACAGGAAGAUAAACCUCUUAAACAAACAACUGAUUUAGAAAUGAAGUUUGAAAUGAAAGAAUUCACUUUAUCAAUCUCUAAACAAGAAGAUGAAACAGUCGUGCCAUUUGUAAGAUUUGAAAUUUUACAAUUAGAAGUUGAAAUGUUGCAACGUUCUUAUGAUCAGGAAAUAAUAUUAAAAUUAGGCGGUACUCAAAUGAAGCAAUACCAUAAUAAUGGAGAAAUUUUUAUGAUAAAUACUCCCAUGUCAACUGGAAAGAAUGAGUAUCUUAUUAUAGUGCAAUAUGUUAAUGUGAAUAAACGGUCACCAGAGUUUAUUACUCGACAUGGAUCAGUUGUAAAAUUGUUACAACUAGAAUUUACUACAUUAGAUGUAUUACUUCAUCAGGAAGCGCUUAUAAAUCUUUUAAAAUUUGUGACAGAUAUACAAGACAAGAUACAAUCCAUGUCUGCAGCUUUAAAAGAAAAAUUGCAAGAAGAUAUAGUACCAUCUCGGCCUACUCAUUUACCUCUCAUACAAGAAGAAACUUCUGUAUUUAUCAAAGAUCAAAUUCAAAAGCAGAGAAUUAAACCUUCCAUUUCACGACGUAAAAGAGGGGUGAUGGAGUUUAUAGAUUUAAAAGUAAAAGCCAAAGUUGGUACCAUUAGCAUGAAAAUGAUUAGUGACGUGAGAGACAUUAGUGCGUUUUUUAUCGAAGGCAUUAUUGCUGGUCUUAUAAUGAAGGCUUCUUACUCGCAAGCAAAUAUUAAUCUUACUUCCAUUAAUAUCCAAGAUCUCAAUACUACAUCAAUUUAUAAAAAUAUUAUAUCAGUAGACGGCGAAGAAUCCUUAAAGAUUGAAGCAGUAAUAUAUAAUAUUGAACCACAAGAGUUUGAUAAAAACAAUAUGUCUAUUAAAAUUAUUAUGGGCUGUCAUCGCAUUAUAUUUUUAAAUGCCUUUGUUACAAAUAUUGUGAAUUUUCUCAAUAAUUUCCAAGUAGCUCAACAAGCAAUUAAAGAAGCAUCUGCAGCUGCUGCAGAAGCAGCGAAAACUAAUAUUAAAGAUGUGCAAGAAAGUGCAACGCGAGUGGAGUUAAAUGUUAACAUUAAGGCUCCUAUUAUAUAUGUACCUAGAAAUUCAAAAAGCGAGCAUUGUUUAAUGUUAGAUAUGGGUAACCUUACAGUUUGUAACAUUUUCAAAAAAUUAGAGACUGAAACUGAAUCUGGAGAAUAUCCUAUAGUUGAUGAAAUGAAGAUCGAAUUACAAAAUUUAAAACUUUCAAGGAUAAGACUGAACAAAAUUGAAUUUACGAUUGAAAAUGAAGUUCUAUUGCUAGAACCAGUUAGUUUUACAUUAUUAAUGAAACGCAAUUUGUCAACUGCAUGGUUUACUUCUAUACCAGAUAUUGAUAUGUACGGCCGAUUGAACAAAAUUAAUAUGCUAUUAAGUCAGGAAGACUAUGCAACUGUAAUGAAAGUUUUAGAAGAAAAUUUAGGAGAAUCAGUGGAAGAACCUAAAUCUACACAAAUCCCAGAACAUUUUGAUAAAAAGACUUUAUUAGAUCAUCAGAAUAAGCAAAGAGCAAUAGAACCAAUUAAAGUGGAUAUUAAUACAGAAAAAGAAACUACAAAUUUGCAAGAGCAAAAGCAUGUACACACGUUUAUUAAAUUUGAAUUUAUUAUGGAUAGCCUUGUCAUUAAUUUGUUCACAGGCGGCUCCAAAAUGUUACAGACUCAAACGUCACCUCUACAUCUUCCGGAAAGUGGUUUGGCAAAGUUUUCCUUAACACAUUUUGGAGUUAAAGGACGAAUAUUCGCUGAUGGUUUAUUAGCAACCUCUAUACUUCUUAUGAAUUGUACUUUGGACGAUAUUCGGCCUAAUAGAGAAAGUACUUUAACAAGACUUAUGGAAAGAACAACAGCCUUAUCGACUGUACAUGAUACAGAAAAAGAUACAAAACCUGUGAGAAGUAUGUUGGAUGUAACAGUUAGGCAAGGCACUAAUGACAUGUUUGUUGAUGUCAGAGUGUUCUCAUUCAGCAUUAUCGUAUCACUUGAUUAUUUAAUGAAAAUAAAAGAUUUCUUUAACAUUGAAUCUUCUACAACAAGUAGAAAUCUACAACAAUCUUCACAAAAGGGUUAUAGUGAUGCAGUAACUAAGAAAAAGUCAGUUCAUACUUCAGGAAAUGUUACUCAAAUGUUAACUGUGAAUUUACACGUUGAAAAGCCAGAUAUCAUUCUUCUUGAAGAUAUGGAUGAUAUAAAUUCAAAUUGCAUAUUAUUAAAUACUGAACUACUUUUAAAAAUGCGCAUUAUGGGUGAACAUCAAGUAAUAACAGGUUCUAUUAAAGAUCUUUCUCUUUUAACUGGUAUAUAUAAUCCUGCUAAAAGGGCUGAUUGGAUAUAUCAAGUUUUAAGACCAUGUAGUGUUAGUGUAGCAGGCUCUACACCUGAAGAAAAAGGUUUGCACAUAGAUGUAUGCUGUACAGACAUUCACAUUUCUGUUUCGCCAGGUGUAAUUGAAAUUUUGAACAAGGUCAUUCAUACUGUUACUAAAGCAGAAGUGGAAGAUAGCGAAGUGGUAAAGCAUGAACCUAAUUACGAAGGACUUUGGCUAAUUACACCAUAUGAAGAACAAAAUUAUUGGUUUUUGAAAACAGAAAUUGCAGUAGAGGCAUUAGAAGAUUUUACUUAUCCUGAUUACGACAAUGAUGCGGUUUAUAAACCUGAAUUAGCAAUAAUUUCUGCACCAACAAUUUUGUUAACAUUAGAAGCAGGCGUUGGUAAUAAAACAUUACCAAUGCUUUUGAUGCAUAUUGGAUUUCAGAGCAAUGUCAAUGAUUGGAGUACUAAAUCCAUGUCCGUGGAAUGUACAAUUUCACUUAUAAUGGCAUACUAUAAUAGUCGUUUGGCUUUAUGGGAACCAUUAAUAGAACCAAAGGAAGGAAUUCAAACUGGAAAACGUACUUCAACUCCUUGGGAAUUGAAAACGAAAGUACAAUUUAAUGAUUUAGCAGUGAACUCUAGAGGAGCUAGUGCUGUUAGUCCAAGUGUAGAAAGUGAACCAGAAGAUUUACAUCAAGUUGCUAAAAUGUCUAUUGACGUAACAUCUUCUGAAAAUUUAGAGAUUACAGUGACCAAAACAUGUCUCGAUGUAUUAAAACAAUUAGGUAAUGCAUUCUCUUCUGCUAUGGUAGUUGGCGGAAAAACGGCUACCCAAAAAUUCGCACCAUAUGUAUUGAAAAAUGAAACAGGCUUGCCAAUGAUACUUGAUUUAGAACUUAGUCAUUUUAAGAUAUUUGAUAGUGGUUCAAGAUCAAGUAAUAAUGCAGAUUCAUAUACUGAAGUAAUUCUCGAAUCUGGAGCGUCCAUAGAACUCGCACCAAAAUUUAUCAAAAUAGAAACGCAGCUUCUUGAACAAUUAAAAGCUAACUCUGUUAAAGACAGAGGAGACAAUAAAUUUGUCGUUUCGUUCAAAGGAAUUUAUGAUAGAUUAACAAUACCAGUUCUUCGAGCAGAUAAAAGAUUCUUUUCAUUGAAAUAUCGUAAGGAUAAUUCAGAAGAAUGGGGCAUUGUUUCUGAUGUUGUUGUUGAUGAAGGAAGUACUAUUGUUACGCUUAGAAGUAUCCUUCAGGUACAUAAUCAUUUCACCGAACCUAUAUCAGUAUAUUAUAUGACGAAACGAGGAAACGAAGUUGAAUGUGUAGGCACAGUAGCUCCUAAUGAUCGAUUGAACCUUCCAUUGGAUGCUGUAUAUACACCAACAAAUAUUUAUUGGUUAUUCUUUAGCGUUAACGGCUAUAUGGUUUCAAUAGAACCAUUUGUAUGGAAAGAUCUUCAAAAGAAUGUUUCCAUGACAAAACUGUUAAAAUGUGAAGCAAGAUCAAAACAAGAAAUAAUAGAACCGUUUUACGUACAGAUGUUUUUCAUGAUGAUUGUGGUUGGUAGUAUUCUCUAUAAUAACAACACAAUUAGUUUACUCUUAAAUACCAUUGACUGGCAAUACAAAUUGUGUCAUUUUAUUGAUCACGUGAAACGUUUCUGCUUGAAUUGUUUUAAUUCAGAGCACCCAAAAUAUGUGGAAACACCUAUUCAGGUUGUAGGAGAGAUAGAGCAAGUUUAUUUUGAAAAUACUAGUCGCCAUACAAUGGCAAGCACUAUUUAUAAUGUUCAUUUAUAUCCGUCUGUAUAUCUAAAAAACUUUUUGCCAAUCGACAUUAUUAUUUGUCUUCCUGGGAUUAUUGAAGAAAAACUUUUGGAAGCUAGUGCUACUUUACAAAUUCCAACAAUUGAUUACACAAAAUCAAAUAUUAUUAUUAAGCUACCAAAUUAUUUAGAAAAAAAUUGGUCAUGUAAAGGUGAAAUAGUAGCAAAUCCACCGGAGUUUUCAGUCUGGUCUUUUGAAUCUUUUGAUAGUGCACAAAAAGUUGUUAUGGAUUUAGGAAUGCAUACAUCAUAUAAACAUGGUUCCAGUAUAAUGGCUCUCUACUGUCCUUUUUGGAUGUUGAAUAAAACUGGAUUAAUGUUAUCUUAUAGGAGUGGAGAAGAUUAUUUAAAUAUUUUAUAUCAUCCAGAACACUUUAAAGGACCAAUAUUAUUUUCAUUCCGUUCAAAAGCCUUUUUUGGUAAAAAGAAAGCAAUGAUUAGAGUGGAAGAUGGAGAAUGGUCUGAAAAGUUUUCAAUUGAUGUUGCGGGAAGUGAGGGAGUAGUUGCGUGCAAAUACAAUGGAAUGAUAUAUCAGAUUGGUGUACAUAAUCAAUUGACAUAUAAUUCUUUAACAAAGCAAAUUACAUUUACACCUUAUUAUGUUCUAAUUAAUAACAGUGAUUUUCUAAUUGAAUGUCAAGAAAGUGAUAGACCUGCUGAUCCAUUUAUCGUAGUUUCACCCGGAGAGUGUUCUGCUUUUUGGCCUCGUUCAGAACACGAAGUGAAAACUUUGAAGGCAAAGGCUGCAGGAUAUCCUGAAAAAACAGCAGCUUUCAUUUAUACUGAUAGUCAUACCACAUUGUUAAAACUAGAUAAUAAGUACGGCGGUAUUAAUGUUGAUAUACAAAUCAAUGAAGGCGGAAUAUAUAUUUCAAUGUCAGGUUACAGUCCUGGCAAUGCUCCAGCUCUUAUUAUAAAUCAUACUCAUCAUUCAAUCAAUUUCUGGGAAAAAGGAUCUAUAAAUAUAAGGUUUAUUCAAUCAUUUAACAGAAUGUUUUAUACUUGGGAAAAUCCUGCUGGUCCAAGAAAAUUAAUGUGGAAAGAUAGUAACAAAAAAGAAAUAGAAGAUGAUCUAAGAAAGGAUACUUUAGGUGCUUUUCAAAUACCUGACACAGAAGAAGAAAUAUAUUAUGUAUCAUUUCUAAAUGGUACACAAAGAGUACUUCUAUUUACUACAAAUUUGAAAAUAGCUGAAGAUUGUCAAUUAGUAGGUGAUCUUGAGCCUAUCGAACAAGAGAUAACUCUUAAUAUCCAUGGAGUAGGAUUUUCCCUUGUAAAUAAUAUUACUAAAUCAGAGCUUUUAUACAUGUGCAUAGCUAGCUCUGGUAUAAUAUGGGAAACGUGUAAAUCUAUUGGAAGUAGAUGGCGUUUUCUUAAUGCAAGAGAAGUUAAUAUUAUUGAAGAGGGAUACCAAAAAUAUAUACGCGAGUUACAAAUUGAAAAGGAUCCGCCUUAUAGAGUAUUACUUGAACCUAAAUUGGAGGUGGAUUACUUAAAUAUGGAAAUGUUAAGACCUCAUCGUCGUUAUAUAAGACGUUCAUUCCAAACUGGUUUAUGGCUACAGUAUAAAACAUCAGCACAUCAAGUACAAUUACAUGCUAAAAUUAAUAGAUUGCAGAUAGAUAAUCAACUUUCAGACUGUGUUUUUCCAGUUAUUCUAGCACCAGUUCCUCUACCUAAGAGUAUCACGCAAAGUACAGUACCAAAACCGUUUGCCGAGCUUAGUAUGGUAAAACGCCUCUUAGAACAUAGCACUGUUCAACAAUUCCGUUAUUUCAAAGUACUUAUUCAAGAAUUCCACAUUAAAGUGGAUAUAGUACUUAUAAAUGUCAUAAUGGCCUUUUUUGAAGCAAAUGUAGCGAAUGAUGCAGAAGAAAGUGAACUUUUUCGCACAGACAUGAAAUUAGUGCAUGAACCACUCAUGUAUCAUGUUAGUUUGAUCACAACAGCUGAACAAAAAAAUUUUUUUGAUUUAUUGCACUUUUCACCUCUCAAGAUACAUAUUAGUUUUUCAAUGACUGGUACUGGAAGUGGACCUUCUGCAGUACCUCAAGUACUAAAUGUACUAUUACAAGGCAUUGGAGUUACGCUAACUGAUAUUAACGAUAUCGUAUUCAAAACAUUUCUCAUUUUACAGAUUAGCAUACUUCGAACGAGAUUACACUUUCAUGACACAUAAGCAAUUAAUCUCAGAAGCAACUACGCAUUAUGUAGGACAAGCUAUUAAGCAAGCUUAUGUUCUUGUGUUAGGUCUUGAUGUAAUUGGUAAUCCAUAUGGUCUUGUAGUUGGUACGAUGAAAGGUAUCGAAGAUUUAUUUUAUGAGCCUUUUCAAGGUGCCAUACAAGGCCCAGGAGAAUUUGCUGAAGGUUUAUAUCUUGGUGUUAGAAGUAUGCUAGGUCAUACUGUUGGUGGAAUGGCAGGAGCUGUAUCGAAAAUUACAGGAGCUAUGGGUAAAGGAAUAGCUGCUUUAACUUUCGACAAAGAUUAUCAAAGAAAAAGACAAGAACAAUUGAAUAAACAGCCAGCAAAUUUGCAUGAAGGACUAGUCAGAAGUGGAAAAGGUUUGGUCA